AAUCAACGCUGGCGGCGUGCCUCAGACAUGCAAGUCGAACGAUUAAACUUCCCUUCGGGGAAGAUAUAAAGUGGCGCACGGGUGAGUAACACGUAGGUAAUGUACCUUUGGGUGGGGAAUAACUUAGGGAAACUUAAGCUAAUACCGCAUAAUGCAGCGGCUCCUUCGGGAGACAGUUGUUAAAGAUUUAUCGCCUAAAGAGCAGCCUGCGGCAGAUUAGCUAGUUGGUAAGGUAACGGCUUACCAAGGCUACGAUCUGUAUCCGACCUGAGAGGGUGGUCGGCCACACUGACACAGAGAGGCGGUACGGACCCCUAGGGGAGGAGGGGGGGGGGAAUGUAGGGGAAGGGGCGAAGGACUGACCCAGCACCGCCGGGGGAAGAAUGAAUUCUUUGGGGAUGUAAAUUUCGAAAAAAUAGGAAGAAUAAAGGGGGGUAUUAUGAGGAAGGUCCGGCUAACUACGUG
rnacentral:rRNA from 1 species